rnacentral:rRNA from 1 species
UACAGAGGUCCCGAGCGUUGUUCGGAUUCAUUGGGCGUAAAGGGUGCGUAGGCGGCUUCCUAAGUUUGAUGUGAAAUCCUGGGGCUCAACCCUGGAACUGCAUUGAAUACUGGGAGGCUAGAAUACUGGAGAGGAAACUGGAAUUUACGGUGUAGCAGUGAAAUGCGUAGAGAUCGUAAGGAAGACCAGUGGCGAAGGCGAGUUUCUGGACAGUUACUGACGCUGAGGCACGAAGGCCAGGGGAGCAAACGGG